rnacentral:sRNA from 1 species
UAGAGAACAAUCUUAAUAUAUUGGGUGU